GGGAAUUCCGGAGUUUACACUCCCAAACCCAUGUGAACAUACCUACUGUUGCUUCGGCGGGAUUGCCCCGGGCGCCUCGUGCGCCCCGGAUCAGGCGCCCGCCUAGGAAACUUAACUCUUGUUUUAUUUUGGAAUCUUCUGAGUAGUUUUUACAAAUAAAUAAAAACUUUCAACAACGGAUCUCUUGGUUCUGGCAUCGAUGAAGAACGCAGCGAAAUGCGAUAAGUAAUGUGAAUUGCAGAAUUCAGUGAAUCAUCGAAUCUUUGAACGCACAUUGCGCCCGCCAGUAUUCUGGCGGGCAUGCCUGUCUGAGCGUCAUUUCAACCCUCAUGCCCCUAGGGCGUGGUGUUGGGGAUCGGCCAAAGCCCGCGAGGGACGGCCGGCCCCUAAAUCUAGUGGCGGACCCGUCGUGGCCUCCUCUGCGAAGUAGUAAUAUUCCGCAUCGGACAGCGACGAGCCCCUGCCGUUAAACCCCCAACUUUCCAAGGUUGACCUCAGAUCAGGUAGGAAUACCCGCUGAACUUAAGCAUAUCAAAAGCCCGGAGGAA
rnacentral:rRNA from 1 species